CGAGGGGCAUCGGGAGGAAGCUUGCUUUCCUUGCCGGCGACCGGCGCACGGGUGAGUAACACGUAUGCAACCUGCCCUCUUCAGGGGGACAACCUUCCGAAAGGGAGGCUAAUCCCGCGUAUAUCGGUUUCGGGCAUCCGAGAUCGAGGAAAGAUUCAUCGGAAGAGGAUGGGCAUGCGGCGCAUUAGCUAGACGGCGGGGUAACGGCCCACCGUGGCGACGAUGCGUAGGGGUUCUGAGAGGAAGGUCCCCCACACUGGUACUGAGACACGGACCAGACUCCUACGGGAGGCAGCAGUGAGGAAUAUUGGUCAAUGGGAGAGAUCCUGAACCAGCCAAGCCGCGUGAGGGAUGACGGUCCUAUGGAUUGUAAACCUCUUUUGUCAGGGAGCAAAGGGCGCCACGUGUGGCGUUUUGCGAGUACCUGAAGAAAAAGCAUCGGCUAACUCCGUGCCAGCAGCCGCGGUAAUACGGAGGAUGCGAGCGUUAUCCGGAUUUAUUGGGUUUAAAGGGUGCGCAGGCGGAAUGUCAAGUCAGCGGUAAAAUUUCGGGGCUCAACCCCGUCGUGCCGUUGAAACUGGCGUUCUUGAGUGAGCGAGAAGUAUGCGGAAUGCGUGGUGUAGCGGUGAAAUGCAUAGAUAUCACGCAGAACUCCGAUUGCGAAGGCAGCAUGCCGGCGCUCAACUGACGCUCAUGCACGAAAGCGUGGGUAUCGAACAGGAUUAGAUACCCUGGUAGUCCACGCAGUAAACGAUGAAUACUAACUGUCCGGGCAGAAUGAUGCCUGGGUGGUACAGCGAAAGCGUUAAGUAUUCCACCUGGGGAGUACGCCGGCAACGGUGAAAC
rnacentral:rRNA from 1 species